GGCCGUUCCAGAAGGAGGGGGGAGGUUGUCCCUAAAGCGCAUGCCCAGGAGGACUGCCUGAGCGAAGGGACAGCUCUGGUAGCGAUUUCCCUUGUGGGGCGAUGACAGAAGACAGGCUGCCUUUGUGUCAAGAUGUAGAACUCUCAGCUCCUUCUCUAGCACUAUGCCUGCCUGGAUGCUGCCCUGUUCUCACCUCGAUGAUCCUGGACUGAAC
rnacentral:lncRNA from 1 species